rnacentral:rRNA from 1 species
UCAAGCUACAAAGAGCGCAAGGGGAAUGCCUUGGCACCAGGAGCCGACGAAGGACGCAGCAAUCUGCGAAAAGCCACGGGGAGCCGAAAGCAGGCAUCGAUCCGUGGAUGUCCGAAUGGGGAAACCCGGCUGAGUGAAGCUCAGUCAGCGUACACUGAAUCCAUAGGUGUGCGUGGGGAACCGCCUGAACUGAAACAUCUAAGUAGGGCGAGGAAAAGAAAUCAACCGAGAUUCCGCAAGUAGUGGCGAGCGAACGCGGAAGAGGCCAAACCGGCUGUAGAAAUAUGGCCGGGGUAAGGACAGCAAAAUGUAUGUUGGACCCUAGCAGAAGGGCAUGGGACGGCCCACCACAGAGAGUGAUAGUCUCGUAUGCGAAAGGGAAAAACAGCAGGCUGUAUCCAGAGUACCACUGGACACGUGAAACCCGGUGGGAAUAUGGGGGGACCACCCUCCAAGCCUAAAUACUCCCUGGUGACCGAUAGUGAAGAGUACUGUGAAGGAAAGGUGAAAAGAACCCCGGGAGGGGAGUGAAAAGAACCUGAAACCUUGUGCUUACAAGCACACAGAGCACGUCAAGGUGUGAUGUGGUACCUUUUGUAGAAUGGUCCGGCGAGUGAAUGUAACGAGCAAGGUUAAGCACUUUAGGUGUGGAGCCGAAGCGAAAGCAAGUCUGAAAAGGGCGAGAAGUUCGUUGUAUUCGACCCGAAACCGGGUGACCUAGCCAUGUCCAGGCUGAAGUGGAGGUAAAACUCCAUGGAGGGCCGAACCGACUCCCGUUGAAAUGGUAGGGGAUGAGGUGUGGCUAGCGGAGAAAUUCCAAUCGAACCCGGAGAUAGCUGGUUCUCUCCGAAAUAGCUUUAGGGCUAGCCUCGACUGAACAUUACCGGAGGUAAAGCACUGAAUGGGCUAGGGGCCGAGAGGUUACUGAACCCUAUCAAACUAAGAAUGCCGGAUAAUGAUAGUCGGGAGUCAGACAGUGUGAGAUAAGUUUCAUUGUCGAAAGGGAAACAGCCCAGACCCACAGCUAAGGUCCCAAAGUAUCGUUAAGUGGAAAAGGAUGUGGAACUGCCCAGACAACCAGGAUGUUGGCUCAGAAGCAGCCAUACAUUCAAAGAGUGCGUAAUAGCUCACUGGUCGAGUGGUUCUGCGCCGAAAAUUUAACGGGGCUAAACGAUACACCGAAGCUUGGGAUGCAGCAUUGGCUGCAUGGUAGGAGAGCGUUCUGUACGGGGUGAAGUCAUAGCGGAAGCGGUGGUGGACUGUACAGAAGAGAGAAUGCCGGAAUGAGUAGCGAGAUUUAUGUGAGAAUCAUAAAGGCCGAAAGACUAAGGAUUUAGAAGGAAGGUUCGUCCGCUUCUAGUUAGCCGGGAGCUAAGGCGAGGCCGAAAGGCGUAGUCGAUGCACAUACGGUGGAGAUUCCGUAGCCGCCUCUUAAUUUAAGCAAAGGGACACUUUCAAAGGGAAUGACCCGGGCGUUGGUAGCCCCGGGCGAAAGGGACCGAAAUUAGAGUAGGGAAGCAUUUCUGGAGGAAGGCGAGAAAAGCUUUGCGGAUAGAGAGAGGCGCCCGUACCGCAAACCGACACAGGUAGUCAGGAAGAGGAUUCUAAGGCCAACGGGAGAAGGGUAGUUAAGGAACUCGGCAAAUUGACCCCGUAACUUCGGAAUAAGGGGUGCUCCUGAAAAGGAGCCGCAGUGAAUAGGCCCAGGCGACUGUUUAUCAAAAACACAGCUCUCUGCUAAAUCGAAAGAUGAAGUAUAGGGGGUGACACCUGCCCGGUGCUGGAAGGUUAAGAGGAAGGGUGCAAGCUCUGAAUUGAAGCCCCAGUAAACGGCGGCCGUAACUAUAACGGUCCUAAGGUAGCGAAAUUCCUUGUCGGGUAAGUUCC